rnacentral:rRNA from 1 species
GGGUGCAAGCGUUAUCCGGAUUCACUGGGGUUAAAGGGUGCGUAGGCGGGUUGGUAAGUCCGUGGUGAAAUCCCCAAGCUUAACUUGGGAACUGCCGUGGAUACUAUCAAUCUUGAAUAUCGUGGAGGUAAGCGGAAUAUGUCAUGUAGCGGUGAAAUGCUUAGAUAUGACAUAGAACACCAAUUGCGUAGGCAGCUUACUACACGAUCAUUGACGCUGAGGCACGAAAGCGUGGGGAGCAAACAGG